rnacentral:rRNA from 1 species
ACUCCUACGGGAGGCAGCAGUGAGGAAUAUUGGACAAUGGGCGAGGGCCUGAUCCAGCCAUGCCGCGUGCAGGAAGAAUGCCCUAUGGGUAGUAAACUGCUUUUAUACGGGAAGAAAAGGGCGACGUGUGCCCUGUUGACGGUACCGUAAGAAUAAGGACCGGCUAACUCCGUGCCAGCAGCCGCGGUAAUACGGAGGGUCCGAGCGUUAUCCGGAAUUAUUGGGCGUAAAGCGCAUGCAGGUGGUUUGUUAAGUCAGAUGUGAAAGCCCGGGGCUCAACCUCGGAACUGCAUUUGAAACUGGCAGACUAGAGUACUGUAGAGGGGGUGAAAUUUCAGUGUAGCGUGAAAUGCGUAGAGAUCU